rnacentral:rRNA from 1 species
AGGGCACCACCAGGAGUGGAGCCUGCGGCUUAAUUUGACUCAACACGGGAAAACUUACCCGGCCCGGACACUGGGAGGAUUGACAGACUGAGAGCUCUUUCUUAAUUCGGUGGGUGGUGGUGCAUGGCCGUUCUUAGUUGGUGGAGCGAUUUGUCUGGUUAAUUCCGAUAACGAACGAGACUCUGGCCUAUUAAAUAGACGGAAUAUCGCUUAAGUAUUCCGCGCUUCUUAGAGGGACAAGCGGCGUCUAGCCGCAUGAAAUAGAGCAAUAACAGGUCUGUGAUGCCCUUAGAUGUCCGGGGCUGCACGCGCGCUACACUGAAAGAAUCAGUGUGCUGAUUCGCCUAGUUCGGAAGAACCGGGUAACCCAAGUAAAUUCUUUCGUGCUUGGGAUAGGGAAUUGCAAUUAUUUCCCUUAAACGAGGAAUUCCCAGUAAGUGCGGGUCAUAAGCUCGCGCUGAUUACGUCCCUGCUCUUUGUACACACCGCCCGUCGCUACUACCGAUUGGAUGACUUAGU